CCCCAUCCAUCUCGCCCAUGACUUUUCAGUCCAUCCCGAUAAGUUGCAUAAGUUCGUCCAGCGCUGAAGGCUGCAGAUUAUUUCCAAAGUCGAUAAUUUCUUCUUCUUGUCCUUCUUCCUGACUCCCGGCCACCAAAGCCAAAUCACCUGCUGCUUUGGCUAUAUGAAGUUUUUUCGCAUGCGCAUCUCCUAGUUUCAAGGCAUGCGCUUCACGCUGGGUAGCUGGCAAGGUGGGAUUUGCGAAAUGCUUUUGCGGACGUGAUCUAAUGUCCAAACCAUUUGAGCGAGCGGAAAGAGCGGGCGAAGUAAUGUGCUGAGUGAUUGGCUCCUGUGCUGGGAUGGUAAUUUUGCCUUGAAUGUUUGGAUAAGGCAGAGAAAUAGACGGAGUGCUGACGUCGUCGUUAACCUCGAAAAACAAAUCUGUGAUUUCACCCUUCGUUCCAUUAAACGGUGGGGUAAUAUUUUCUGUCUGGUGGACCGAGGAUGCCGUCUCAUCAAACAUUAUACAUAGACGGUCAAUCGGGUCUUGUUUGGAGUCUUCGAAGAGCUGCAAGACAUUGCCAGCAUGCUUCACGCCGUCUGAAGUUUCAACAUCUGGGGAGAGAAGACUGGCCAUGAUUUUUCUGGGUUUGGACCCGCGAGGAAUCUCAACUUGUAUGUGGGCGGGGCACCCUCUGCGAGUCACUGGAUUUUCAAAAGACUCAUUUGCGAUCCUACCAAGAAUUGGCUGGAGUACCCAAGGGAAACUGAUGAGGGGCAACUUUCUCUCCUGAAAAUGUGAAUUAUCAACGA
rnacentral:sRNA from 2 species